rnacentral:rRNA from 1 species
UACGGAGGGGCUAGCGUUGUUCGGAAUUACUGGGCGUAAAGCGCACGUAGGCGGCUUUGUAAGUUAGAGGUGAAAGCCCGGGGCUCAACCCCGGAAUAGCCUUUAAGACUGCAUCGCUUGAACACGGGAGAGGUGAGUGGAAUUCCGAGUGUAGAGGUGAAAUUCGUAGAUAUUCGGAAGAACACCAGUGGCGAAGGCGGCUCAC